ensembl:snRNA U6 U6 spliceosomal RNA
GAGCUCGUUUGGGCAGCACACAUACUGAAAUUAGAGUCAUACAGGGAAUAUUAGUAUGGUCCUUGCAUGAGGGUGACAUGAACAUUCAUGAAGGUUUCCAUACUUUU